rnacentral:lncRNA from 1 species
AUUAGUCAUUUUCGUUAUUAAAUUAUUUAGGUACCAUUUUUAUUUUAUUAGUUAUUAAUUUUGUUAUAACUCAUUGAGUAUUCCUCGUGCGGUAUUAUCUAAUUGUUUUUUUUUCUUCAGUGUUUUUCAAUCACUUCCAAUUCGGUUAAAAUGCAAUGUCACUAAAUGCGUACGACCUCUUCUGUUCUCUACUAUAAUUUUAUAUUAAAAGUAAUCAACAUAAAAUAAUAAUAUUUUUUAUAGAUAUUAGAACCUCUUGAAAUGUAUUUCGUCUGAUUAAGAUUUUAUUAAUUUUUUAUCCAAUUUUCUAUAACUGCUUUAUCUGUGUAUUAUAUGUAAAACAUACAACAUUCAAUGCAUAAUAUUUUGAAAUUAUAAUUUUAUAACACCUGAUGAUCAGAAAAAAAAAAGCCAGUCAACUCAAAGGUGACAUUUCUUAUAAUUUGACUAUACAAUUUCAAUAGGUAUCAAUAUUUAAUAAUUAUUAUAUUAAAGUUGAAUUUACCUAAGGUUUAUGAGUCUGAACGAAUAUUGUAAUUUAACUGAAUAAAACAACAAUAUUUAAUAGUUAUUUUUAUUGUAUGAUUUUGCAGAAAUGGAAACCGACCAAAUUUGCAUUAACAAACUACCUGAUGAAAUUUUACUCCAAAUAUUCCGAAACGUUUCAGCCAAGGAUUUUAUUGUAGUUCUACCAUUUGUGUGCAGACGAUGGCAGAGUAUUAUUCAAUCAGAUUCACACACAAUAAAGCAAAUUGGGAUGAUACAUUGCAAUAAUUUUCCGGGAAUUGUAGUAGAAUAUUUCUAUACUAAAACUGCAUUUGACAACUUUUUACAUCUAUCACCAGCCCAUUUUGAGAUUGGUAGUAGAACGAUUCAAACAUAUUUAGAUGCUUGUGAUUCCUCUAUUCAUUACUCAGAUACAAUAUAUAAGCAUAU